AUGAAGGGCCUUAUAGUUCAGCUGUGGCCUGGAGAGGCCCUGCCUGGGAGCUACUUCGGGCUGGUGAGGCGGCUGGUGGAUGCCUGUCCGUGGCUCGAAGUCGUCAAGCGCUCCGUCUGCAUUGAAGGUGCCCGUAGGGCGCUUGCCCGUGCUAAAGUGCACUGGGGCAAGAUGGAUGCGGAGAAGCUUGUGAAGGACGGGCCACCGCAGGGCAAGGAGCAUCGCCACCCUGAGGUGUAUUAUGAGGGCGUCCUGAAGGGCGUCCGCCUUGUGGCGGACGAAUGUUCCAAAGAUAUAAUAUUUGAGUGA
rnacentral:rRNA from 1 species